AUAAUGUGACGCUUCAGAACCUAAAAUCCCGUAUCUCCCCGUUGACACGACAACACAUAACCGGCGUUUUCAGAAAUCUCCACUUUGGCCGGAGUUUUUAGAAAUGAUCGUUUUCUGUGAUAAGACAGGGCCUCGGACAGGGGGUGUUGCAGCACCCCCAGCACUCCUACUUCCCGCGGUACUGGGUGCAACUUACAGCUGAAUGUAGUGCCAUGUUGUUAAACGAAAACCUACGCUAGCCUGGCUCGCUCUCGCGCAUCUCUGUUCGCGCUCGUGCAUGAUUGCGCGUCCAGGUACUUGGAAUGGGUGGAGUCAGAGUCAGCGUUGAAGGAGAGGGGGUAGGACCAUUUGAGUUGUGUAUUUUCAAAAUCUGCUGGCGUUUCGCAAAUCACCUACCCAACCUUUAAUAUUUCUGGUGUUACCCACUGACUGCCAUGACUGUCCUUGCUUUGUUCCAAAGGCCAAACUCACGCUACCUGCAGGAGCCAGCUGGAAGAGUCCAGACCACUAGGGGCCCGCCGCAACACUUUUUUGAAGGUGCAGACCUUUAGAGUUAAACUGAACAGCAAUGAAACAUUUUAGAAAUUAAAAUAUAAAUAUUUCAGAAACGGCUGUUUGACUGCCCAUUUAGUCUGAAAUUAAACUGGCGCUUACUAUGCUUCAAGGUGUGGACACUGAUGACGAGGCACCACCCCCCCUAAGGAAAACAGCCCGACAAUCUGUAGAUGUAGGGCCAGACAUCAAUAGUGAGUGGCUAUUUGGGCCAUCGACCACCCAAAGAGCUCAAUCAAAUGGCAGCCAGAGACUUGAGCUACUACAUCUAGAUACAGUCCAACCAAGCCACCAGCUAUUGCAUGUUAAGUCGAGGAGACAAACAUUCUAACCAUUUUUUCA
rnacentral:lncRNA from 1 species